rnacentral:rRNA from 1 species
GCCAGCAGCCAUAUCACCCUUGCAGCUCUCAAAUGGCUACCCACUGAAGCUAAGCAGGGUUGAGCCUGGUCAGUACCUGGCUACUGGAAAGCUAUGGUUGCUGCUGGAA